GUUGAAACAGCGGUUCCCGUACGAUCACCGAAGUUAAGCAACGUAGAGUCUGGUCAGUACCUGGAUGGGUAAAAAUACGGGAAUAGCAGGUUCUG